rnacentral:rRNA from 1 species
AAUAUUGGACAAUGGGCGAAAGCCCGAUCCACCCAUGCCGCGUGUGUGAAGAAGGUCUUCGGAUGGUAAAGCACUUUUGGCAGGGAAGAAAAGGCUCUGGCUAAUACCUGGAGCUCCUGACGGUACCUCCGGAAUAGCCACCGGCUAACUACCUGCCGGCAGCCGCGGUAAUACGUAGGGUGCAAGCGUUAAUCGGAAUUACUGGGCGUAAAGCGUGCGCAGGCGGUUCGGCAAGAAGGAUGUGAAAUCCCAGGGCUUAACCUUGGAACUGCAUUCUUAACUGCCGGGCUAGAGUAUGUCAGAGGGGGGUAGAAUUCCGCGUGUAGCAGUGAAAUGCGUAGAGAUGCGGAGGAAUACCGAUGGCGAAGGCAGCCCCCUGGGAUAAUACUGACGCUCAUGCACGAAAGCGUGGGGAGCAAAC